UACGAAGGGGGCUAGCGUUGCUCGGAAUCACUGGGCGUAAAGCGCACGUAGGCGGAUUGCUAAGUCAGGGGUGAAAUCCUGGAGCUCAACUCCAGAACUGCCUUUGAUACUGGCGACCUUGAGUCCGGGAGAGGUGAGUGGAACUGCGAGUGUAGAGGUGAAAUUCGUAGAUAUUCGCAAGAACACCAGUGGCGAAGGCGGCUCACUUGCCCGGUACUGACGCUGAGGUGCGAAAGCGUGGGGAGCAAACAGG
rnacentral:rRNA from 1 species